rnacentral:rRNA from 1 species
CGCGUCCGGUGUGAAAGUCCAUCGCUUAACGGUGGAUCUGCGCCGGGUACGGGCGGGCUGGAGUGCGGUAGGGGAGACUGGAAUUCCCGGUGUAACGGUGGAAUGUGUAGAUAUCGGGAAGAACACCGAUGGCGAAGGCAGGUCUCUGGGCCGUCACUGACGCUGAGGAGCGAAAGCGUGGGGAGCGAACAGGAUUAGAUACCCUGGUAGUCCACGCCGUAAACGGUGGACGCUGGAUGUGGGGCACGUUCCACGUGUUCCGUGUCGGAGCUAACGCGUUAAGCGUCCCGCCUGGGGAGUACGGCCGCAAGGCUAAAACUCAAAGAAAUUGACGGGGGCCCGCACAAGCGGCGGAGCAUGCGGAUUAAUUCGAUGCAACGCGAAGAACCUUACCUGGGCUUGACAUGUUCCCGACGACGCCAGAGAUGGCGUUUCCCUUCGGGGCGGGUUCACAGGUGGUGCAUGGUCGUCGUCAGCUCGUGUCGUGAGAUGUUGGGUUAAGUCCCGCAACGAGCGCAACCCUCGCCCCGUGUUGCCAGCACGUUAUGGUGGGAACUCACGGGGGACCGCCGGGGUUAACUCGGAGGAAGGUGGGGAUGACGUCAGAUCAUCAUGCCCCUUACGUCCAGGGCUUCACGCAUGCUACAAUGGCCGGUACAGCGGGAUGCGACAUGGCGACAUGGAGCGGAUCCCUGAAAACCGGUCUCAGUUCGGAUCGGAGCCUGCAACCCGGCUCCGUGAAGGCGGAGUCGCUAGUAAUCGCGGAUCAGCAACGCCGCGGUGAAUGCGUUCCCGGGCCUUGUACACACCGCCCGUCAAGUCAUGAAAGUGGGCAGCACCCGAAGCCGGUGGCCUAACCCCUUGUGGGAUGGAGCCGUCUAAGGUGAGGCUCGUGAUUGGGACUAAGUCGUAACAAGGUAGCCGUACCGGAAGGUGCGGCUG